rnacentral:rRNA from 1 species
AUACAGAGGGUGCAAACGUUGUUCGGAAUUACUGGGCAUAAAGCGUGCGUAGGCGGCAUUGUAAGUGUGAAGUGAAAUCCCACGGCUCACCCGUGGAACUGCUUUGCAUACUGCAGUGCUCGAGGACGGUAGGGGAGAGCGGAACUCCUGGUGGAGCGGUGAAAUGCGUAGAUAUCAGGGGGAACACCGAUGGCGAAGGCAGCUCUCUGGUCCGUUUCUGACGCUGAGGUACGAAAGCUAGGGUAGCGAACGGGAUUAGAUACCCCAGUAGUCC